AUAGCAAUAGCUACUUGCAUCAUUCUAAAUAUGAUGCAAGAUCGACUAUGUCGAAUAAAAUUCUAGGUAGAAUUAUGAUAAUGACAUUGUCUGCCUAUGUGUCUUGACCAAAUUACGUGCCAGCAGUCGCGGUAAUACGUAGAAGACUAGUGUUAUUCAUGUUUAAUCGGUUUAAAGGGUACCUAGACGGUAAAUCAAGCCUAAAAGGAAAUAAAUGAAGGGACUAAUUUACUAGAGUUACUUAUGAGGGGGUAUUAAAGUACUGCUGGUGUAGAGAUGAAAUUCUGUCAUACCUCUUUUCAAUAGAAAAAUAAUGGCACAGGUAUAGGCGAAAGCAUCCCCUUAUGUGAUAACUGACGUUGAGGGACGAAGGCUUUGUGUAGCGAACAGGAUUAGAUACCCCAGUAGUCAAAGCAGAAAAUGAUGAAUGUCAUAGAUUAGAUAUAUAAGUUUAUUCUAUAAAUGAAAGUGUAAGCAUUCCACCUCAAGAGUAAUUUGGCAACAUUGGAACUGAAAUCAUUAGACCGUUUCUGAAACCAGUAGUGAAGUAUGUUGUUUAAUUUGAUGAUCCGCAAAAAACCUUACCACAAUUUGAAUAUUUAUAUCUUUUGUUGUUUUUCUUUUUAACUUUCUUCUGAUUUUCUACUUAAAAGAAAACAAUAACAAGAAAAAAGAGGCAAUAAGAUAUAUUUACAAGCGUUGCACGGCUGUCUUCAGUUAAUGUCGCGAGACUCUGGUUAGUUCCAUUAAAUUAACGUAAACCCUUACUUUAUUUUUAUAUAGAGUAGUUCCCCGCUAUAUUGGAUAUGAUAACAGGGACUAAGACAAGUCAUCA
rnacentral:rRNA from 1 species